rnacentral:rRNA from 1 species
CCUACGGGGGGCAGCAGUGGGGGAUAUUGCACAAUGGGGGGAACCCUGAUGCAGCGACGCCGCGUGGGUGAAGGAGCGUUUCGGCGCGUAAAGCCCUAUCGGCAGGGAAGAAAAUGACGGUACCUGACUAAGAAGCCCCGGCUAACUACGUGCCAGCAGCCGCGGUAAUACGUAGGGGGCAAGCGUUAUCCGGAUUUACUGGGCGUAAAGGGAGCGUAGACGGGGUAGCAAGUCCGAUGGGAAAGGUUGGGGCCCAACCCCGGGACUGCAUUGGAAACUGUUGAACUGGAGUACAGGAGAGGUAGGCGGAAUGCCUGGUGUAGCGGUGAAAUGCAUAGAUAUUAGGAGGAACACCAGUGGCGAAGGCAGCUUACUGGACUGUAACUGACGUUGAGGCUCGAAAGCGUGGGGAGCGAACAGGAUUAGAUACCCGUGUAGUC